rnacentral:misc_RNA from 1 species
AAACACCCUCAGCUCCCCCUUCUUUCGUUUUGAUCGAGGGUGGGGGGAGUUGGACUUGAGCGAUCCCAACGGCAGCGAUUUUCGAAAAACCGCCGGCGGGCCGCUUGAAAUGCAGGUGCGGCUGGACACAUCUUCUGGGCUAUAAGCAUUACUUAUUUAGUCCCGUCAAACGGAUUAUAUCUUAUUGCUGCAGCUAACAUAAAGGUCGAUUGUCCUUGUGCCCGACUGAUGCAGGAAGACAAAGAGAGGUGGAAGCACCUCUUUUUUGUUCA